GAAGUGCCUGAGACAGUCGCUCAUUGAUCAUUUCAUUGAGAGGAAAGUCCGGACACCUUAAGGCAGUGCCGCCGCACGAAAGUGCGGGAAGCUGAAAGCGAAAGCUCCAGUUUACGGAAAGUGUCACAGAAAAUAUACCGCCUGAACGGGUCUAAGCCUGAUCAGGUAAGGGUGAAAUGGCGAGUUAAGAGCUCACCGCCCCGAGGGUAACUGAGGGGGCAUGACAAACCCCGUGCGGUGCAAGACAGAACAGGGAAAACGGGUAGCCUGCCCGGCCUCUUCGGAGAUGAUCCCGGGUAAUAGUCGCAGCAUGGUUCGCCCAGCUCCUGUCAUUUGGCAGGAAGAUAAAUGGCUGUCACCUGUCCCGCUCCGGUGAGGCAGGACACAGAAUCCGGCUUAUGAGGGUACUUCCCAA
rnacentral:RNase_P_RNA from 1 species